rnacentral:rRNA from 1 species
AAAAUUGCAGUUGAUACUGGGGACCUUGAGUGCGGCAGAGGCAGGCGGAAUUCGUGGUGUAGCGGUGAAAUGCUUAGAUAUCACGAAGAACUCCGAUUGCGAAGGCAGCUUGCUGGACCGUAACUGACGUUGAUGCUCGAAAGUGCGGGUAUCAAACAGGAUUAGAUACCCUGGUAGUCCGCACAGUAAACGAUGAAUACUCGCUGUUGGCGAUAUACUGCCAGCGGCCAAGCGAAAGCGUUAAGUAUUCCACCUGGGGAGUACGCCGGCAACGGUGAAACUCAAAGGAAUUGACGGGGGCCCGCACAAGCGGAGGAACAUGUGGUUUAAUUCGAUGAUACGCGAGGAACCUUACCCGGGCUUGAACUGCAGCGGAAUGAUUUGGAAACAGAUCAGCGAGCAAUCGCCGCUGUGGAGGUGCUGCAUGGUUGUCGUCAGCUCGUGCCGUGAGGUGUCGGCUUAAGUGCCAUAACGAGCGCAACCCUUACCGAUAGUUGCCAUCAGGUGACGCUGGGGACUCUAUCGGGACUGCCGUCGUAAGAUGUGAGGAAGGUGGGGAUGACGUCAAAUCAGCACGGCCCUUACGUCCGGGGCUACACACGUGUUACAAUGGGGGGUACAGCAGGCCGCUACCGGGCGACCGGAUGCCAAUCCCUAAAACCCCUCUCAGUUCGGACUGGAGUCUGCAACCCGACUCCACGAAGCUGGAUUCGCUAGUAAUCGCGCAUCAGCCACGGCGCGGUGAAUACGUUCCCGGGCCUUGUACACACCGCCCGUCAAGCCAUGAAAGCCGGGGGUACCUGAAGUGCGUAACCGCAAGGAGCGCCCUAGGGUAAAACUGGUGAUUGGGGC